GUGGCUCAGUGGUAGAGUGCUUGCCUUGCAUGGCUGAGGCCCUGGGUUCGAUUCCCAGC
rnacentral:tRNA from 1 species